GAUGAACGCUGGCGGCGUGCCUAAUACAUGCAAGUCGAGCGAACGGACGAGAAGCUUGCUUUUCUGAUGUUAGCGGCGGACGGGUGAGUAACACGUGGAUAACCUACCUAUAAGACUGGGAUAACUUCGGGAAACCGGAGCUAAUACCGGAUAAUAUUUUGAACCGCAUGGUUCAAAAGUGAAAGACGGUCUUGCUGUCACUUAUAGAUGGAUCCGCGCUGCAUUAGCUAGUUGGUAAGGUAACGGCUUACCAAGGCAACGAUGCAUAGCCGACCUGAGAGGGUGAUCGGCCACACUGGAACUGAGACACGGUCCAGACUCCUACGGGAGGCAGCAGUAGGGAAUCUUCCGCAAUGGGCGAAAGCCUGACGGAGCAACGCCGCGUGAGUGAUGAAGGUCUUCGGAUCGUAAAACUCUGUUAUUAGGGAAGAACAUAUGUGUAAGUAACUGUGCACAUCUUGACGGUACCUAAUCAGAAAGCCGCGGCUAACUACGUGCCAGCAGCCGCGGUAAUACGUAGGUGGCAAGCGUUAUCCGGAAUUAUUGGGCGUAAAGCGCGCGUAGGCGGUUUUUUAAGUCUGAUGUGAAAGCCCACGGCUCAACCGUGGAGGGUCAUUGGAAACUGGAAAACUUGAGUGCAGAAGAGGAAAGUGGAAUUCCAUGUGUAGCGGUGAAAUGCGCAGAGAUGUGGAGGAACACCAGUGGCGAAGGCGACUUUCUGGUCUGUAACUGACGCUGAUGUGCGAAAGCGUGGGGAUCAAACAGGAUUAGAUACCCUGGUAGUCCACGCCGUAAACGAUGAGUGCUAAGUGUUAGGGGGUUUCCGCCCCUUAGUGCUGCAGCUAACGCAUUAAGCACUCCGCCUGGGGAGUACGACCGCAAGGUUGAAACUCAAAGGAAUUGACGGGGGCCCGCACAAGCGGUGGAGCAUGUGGUUUAAUUCGAAGCAACGCGAAGAACCUUACCAAAUCUUGACAUCCUUUGACAACUCUAGAGAUAGAGCCUUCCCCUUCGGGGGACAAAGUGACAGGUGGUGCAUGGUUGUCGUCAGCUCGUGUCGUGAGAUGUUGGGUUAAGUCCCGCAACGAGCGCAACCCUUAAGCUUAGUUGCCAUCAUUAAGUUGGGCACUCUAAGUUGACUGCCGGUGACAAACCGGAGGAAGGUGGGGAUGACGUCAAAUCAUCAUGCCCCUUAUGAUUUGGGCUACACACGUGCUACAAUGGACAAUACAAAGGGCAGCGAAACCGCGAGGUCAAGCAAAUCCCAUAAAGUUGUUCUCAGUUCGGAUUGUAGUCUGCAACUCGACUACAUGAAGCUGGAAUCGCUAGUAAUCGUAGAUCAGCAUGCUACGGUGAAUACGUUCCCGGGUCU
rnacentral:rRNA from 1 species